CUGUGGCACUUAGUCUCAGAGAGUCUUGUGAAAGCUGAAAGAGAUCGAAGGCUUUGGUGACUCUCAAGCCCCGGACAUUUUCAAGUUUAUUAGUGUCUUUUCUAUAUUAACUUUGCUUUGUUUUUGCUGCUGUUGUUUUAUAUUUUAUUUAUCUGCCUUAUGUGUCUUUGUGUGUCUGUGUGGACAUGCAUGCCACAGCACACAUGUGGCAGUCAGGGGACAACUUUUGGAAGUAGCUUCUCUCCUUUCACCAUAUGGGUUUUGGGGAUUGUAAUUAAUCAGGUCUGUGAGCUUGGCAGCCCACUCUUACCCAUGGAGCCGUCUUGCUGGUUCUAUUCCGGUUUUUCUGAGAAGUUCUCUCAGAAUAGCCCAGAUUAGGCUGGAAUGUGCGAUUCUCCUGCCUCAGCCUCCCAGGCGCUGAAAUGACAGAUGUGCUCAAAUGUAAGGUGGUUUGUGCAGGUGUCACAGCGUCCUGGAAACGACCCUUGGAGAGGGGAGAAUGAAAACUCAGUUCUCAGAACUGGAUCAGACUUCGGGAGUCUGGGGCCAGGCCGUUUAUUGCCAGCACAUUUAAACACAGCACAGUUUGGAAAAAGUUUCCUGGUGUAAUAUAAUCUCUGCAAAAUUACACUGAAACUCAACUCAAAGCUGCCAUUUCUUCCAAGAAGAUGGGUUCUAGAGAUAGGCUACCUGUACUAGCUUAAGGGCCUAGAGAAGGGACCUGGCCUGGUCUUAGUCAUACUGAUUGGGCAGUUAGCCACGUCUGGUCCUAAUUGUGGGAACUUGGUAUGGCCUGGCCUUCAGAUAAUGCAGGUCACCAGGUUGUUAGCACCGCCAGGUCCCAGCCUUCUGAACAGGAAAACAGGUUACAUAGCUUUUGCUUCCCAAGGGCAAUCCUGCAUGCUUAACAUUCCCGGUUUCCCUGGAGAGCUGUGGGUCAAGGCCCUUCCUGCUCCCAAUAUUUAGAUUUUUGGGUGUUUUUUGUUUGUUUGUUUGUUUUGUUGUUGUUGUUUUGUGUUUGGUGAUUAUAAUUGACAACUGAACCUUAUGAGAAAAAGCAGCAGAAAGUAAAAAGGAAAAUAUUGUCUCCUGUAGUGCUAAUCAAGGAGUGAAAUGAAAGUUUUGGUGUUUUUAUUAAUACUUCAUGGACACACACACACACACACCAGCUUAAAGAUAUUGGCAGGGACUAGAGAGAUUGCUCAGUGGUUAAGAGCACUGGAUUCGAGGGGCCCGCAACUGGAUCAGGCCCUCUGAAUAGGACAGGAAGUCAAGCCAGUGAGAACAAAGCUGGGCACUGAAUGCAGCCUGAAAGCCAAGCUGAGUAAGACCUCUGAAGUCAUCAGACAGGACCCCAACUGUCUGCCCUACACUGACCAUUUAGACACACAUAAACACGGGAAAAUGCCACACAGCAUUGGAGAGAGGCCUUUGAGCUACAGAAGACGCGUCCACAAACCAAGGGAUUCCAAGGAUUGCCAGAACCUAGGAGAAAAUCAUGGAACAGAUGGUUCUUCCAAGCUUGAAGAAGGAACUAAUCUCACCGACACCUUGGUUUCAGACUUCUAAUCCCCUGAACUGUGAGAAUGUUUGAAAUAACUCAUCGUGAGGCACUUUCUUACAGCAGCCCUGGGAAACCCAUCUAAAACCGCUGAUGAUGAUGUCUUCACUGUGUUGAAUAAAAAGGUACCAGGCUCCUCCUGAACAUUUUGUGACCUGGAGGAUCCAAAGUUAAGGCCAACCUGGGCUGCGUGAAACCUUGUCUCUACACAGA